AUAAUCUGUUUGAAUUUAGGGAAACCUUUCUCUAAGGCUAAAUAUGAUAUAUAAGCGAUAGCGAAGCAGUACCGUGAGGGAAAUUUUUGAAAUAGUAGUUUUAUAAGCAGCUCAAGUUUAAUUUAAAAGUAUAAUGAGAGCGUACCUUUUGCAUAAUGGGUCAGCAAGUUAAUGUUAGAUGCGAG
rnacentral:rRNA from 1 species